CAGAGGCAAGGGUAUCCUGUUAGAGAUCAUUUCCAGCUUGAGGCCUUCUGAAGGUACUACCAAGCUGAUAAUACAGAUUACAGGGAUUCUGAGGGACAAAUCCUGGAUGCUGGAUUUGCAGACUUGCUCUGCUGAAGGGUAUUGGUAGCUUCUGAAAACCUUGACAGCAGCCUACUGGGGAAAGACUUUGCACUUUUCUGUGUGUGUUAAUCCCCUCUGUGUCCCUCUUCCUCUCCAGUUCCAAGCCUUACAUGUGGAGCUUAUGGCAGAAGAGAGAAGAGAACCUGGCUGGAUUGUGCUGCAGCAAUUCCCGCCCAAUGCUGGGCUUUGGCAAAGCAGCUGGUAUAGAUUAGAGUAGCUCUUGGAGUCCUUUCAUCUGUGGAAGGGCUGGGCUGGCAGAGAACUGGCCCCAGGAUAAGAGAAAUGUAUUGGCUGUUCAUGUACCGCAUCCCCAGCCUCCUCCUUAGUUACAUCUAAUGAACAAUGGCACAGCUGAGAAUGAGGCCACACACAGUCUGGAGAGUUUCUUUUCAUAGCUAGAUCUUGGGAAAUAUUUCCUUCCAGUACAGAAUUUCAUGGCUUUCCUUUGUGCAAGUUGUGAAAAUAAACAAAUAAACCUAGU